AUUGAACGCUGGCGGCAGGCCUAACACAUGCAAGUCGAGCGAGCGGCGGACGGGUGAGUAAUGUAUGGGGACUGCCCGAUAAGGGGGGAUAACUACUGGAAACGGUAGCUAAUACCGGAUACUAUCGGAUAACCCAUAUGGGAUUAGCUAGUAGGUGAGGUAAUGUCUCACCUAGGCGACGAUCCCUAGCUGGUCUGAGAGGAUGAUCAGCCACACUGGAACUGAGACACGGCCCAGACUCCUACGGAGGCAGCAGUGGGGAAUCUUGCACAAUGGGCGCAAGCCUGACGGAGCCAUGCCGCGUGUGUGAAGAAGGCCUUAGGGUUGUAAAGUACUUUCAGUCGGGAGGCGUUACCGACAGAAGAAGCACCGGCUAACUCCGUGCCAGCAGCCGCGGUAAUAC
rnacentral:rRNA from 1 species